rnacentral:rRNA from 1 species
CCGCACAAGCGGUGGAGCAUGUGGUUUAAUUCGACGCAACGCGAAGAACCUUACCAGGGCUUGACAUCCCCUGACCGCGUAUGAAAGUACGUUUUCACCCUCGGGUGACAGGGAGACAGGUGGUGCAUGGUUGUCGUCAGCUCGUGUCGUGAGAUGUUGGGUUAAGUCCCGCAACGAGCGCAACCCCUACGUUUAGUUGCUAACGCGUGAAGGCGAGCACUCUAGACGAACUGCCGUUGACAAAACGGAGGAAGGUGGGGAUGACGUCAAAUCAUCAUGCCCCUUAUGUUCUGGGCUACACACGUGCUACAAUGGCCGGUACAGACGGACGCAAAGCCGCGAGGUGGAGCCAAUCCCCAAACGGCCUCUCAGUUCGGAUAGUAGUCUGCAACUCGACUACUUGAAGUCGGAAUCGCUAGUAAUGGCGGAUCAGCAUGCCGCCGUGAAUACGUUCCCGGGUCUU